rnacentral:rRNA from 1 species
GAUGAACGCUGGCGGAGUGCCUAAUACAUGCAAGUCGAGCGAACAGAUGAGGAGCUUGCUCCUCUGACGUUAGCGGCGGACGGGUGAGUAACACGUGGAUAACCUACCUAUAAGACUGGGAUAACUUCGGGAAACCGGAGCUAAUACCGGAUAAUAUAUUGAACCGCAUGGUUCAAUAGUGAAAGACGGUUUUGCUGUCACUUAUAGAUGGAUCCGCGCCGCAUUAGCUAGUUGGUAAGGUAACGGCUUACCAAGGCAACGAUGCGUAGCCGACCUGAGAGGGUGAUCGGCCACACUGGAACUGAGACACGGUCCAGACUCCUACGGGAGGCAGCAGUAGGGAAUCUUCCGCAAUGGGCGAAAGCCUGACGGAGCAACGCCGCGUGAGUGAUGAAGGUCUUCGGAUCGUAAAACUCUGUUAUUAGGGAAGAACAAAUGUGUAAGUAACUAUGCACGUCUUGACGGUACCUAAUCAGAAAGCCACGGCUAACUACGUG